AAAAUUGGAGUUUUACUUUUACUCUUACUUAAGUGGUUUCUAAUUUAAGGACUCCUUUUUUUCAUUUUCAUUUUAACUUAAAGAAAUUAUAUCAAUUCCCUCUCACCAGAGCUCAUGAUAUUGUUAGUACCUUAUGCAUAAUAAGAAAGAGGUUAUUACUGUUAUUCAAUGGCUAGAGGAUAGACACGAUAAAAAGUAAGUAAAUCCAUUUAAUAUUGAUUAUUAUUAUUAUUAUUAUUAUUAUUAUUGUGGGUUUUCUGCAUUAGGGUUUCAAUUGAUAAUGAAGAAGGAAAUUCUUGAUAAUGAAGAAGGAAAUAGGGAAUUUCAAUUGCUCUCUGAUCGGUCCAAAUUAUGUAUAGAUAUUUAAGG
rnacentral:lncRNA from 1 species